ACGGGAGGCAGCAGUAGGGAAUAUUGUACAAUGGGGGAAACCCUGAUGUAGCAACGCCACGUGUGGGAAGAAGCAUUUCGGUGUGUAAACCACUGUCGUGAAGGAAUAAGGCUUAUUUUCGGAUAAGUUGAAUGUACUUUGAAAGGAAGCACCGGCAAACUUCGUGCCAGCAGCCGCGGUAAUACGAGGGGUGCAAGCGUUGUUCGGAAUCACUGGGCGUAAAGGGAGCGCAGGCGGAGAUGCAAGCAGUCUGUACAAUACCGGGGCCCAACCCCGGACCUGCAGACUGGACUGUUUCUCUUGGAUAGCUCAGGGGCUGGCGGAAUUCCUGGUGUAGCGGUGGAAUGCGUAGAGAUCAGGAAGAACACCGAUUGCGAAGGCAGCUUGCUGGGGAGUUAUCGACGCUCAUGCUCGAAAGUGCGGGUAGCAAACAGGAUUAGAUACCCUGGUA
rnacentral:rRNA from 1 species